AAUCGCCGCUGCGUGCUAUGGAAUGCUUUUUCGUGGUUUAUGGCGGAUGCGUUCAAAGUGAGUUUCUUUGAAGAAAUGAAAAAUUCACGGGGAAGUGCGUGGACAUGGAAAUCGGGGGUUCUGGCGGGCCGUCAUCACUGAGUUCUACGAAAACGAUAAGAAUCCUCUUCUCGCCGACCAUCGAACGAAGAAGCGCAAGUGACGACGAAGAAGAGGCGAGGUAGGCAAGAAAAGGUGUUUGCCCGACGGGACGAUGACGAGUGUGUCGUGGUACGGGGCCACGAGUUCGAUGAAUCCUUACAUUGGAGUGUGUGUGUGUGUGUGCAGUCAACGGCAAUGCACGAAAGGAGUUCGUGAACCGAGCCCUCAAUAUCAUGCGCUGCGCUGUCAAGACUCCGCACUUUUUUAUAUCGUCAGGACUGAUCUGGCACUUUUCCAUCUCGAGCGUCUGAAGUGUACACCCCAGCUCGUGGUCUAUGCAGGACGUCCGGAACUCGUCUAUCGGGAAUGUGACAAAACGCCUUGCGCACUCCUUGUAAGCGCGUGUCGGUGAGGCUGGAGUGCACCCUGUUUUCGACGCCCAGCGCCCUGCUCCCUAUGCUGCUACGAGGCUUUGACGCUUGUCCUCCUUGAGGGUGCUCAGCGCAUGAAAAAAGUUCCCAAAUGCACGCCAUUCCGCACAGUACAAGUUCAUAUGCGGACGAUGGCAUGGACAUUGGCUUUUGAACGCUCUCUCCGCCGCUGCUUCCAUUGCCGCUCUCUUAGCCCCGAGUGAACAUGUGCCGGUCUCUCUUGUCCUUGCAGUUCCCGAGUCAGCAGUCGAGGGAUGUCGGUGGCAGCGUUCAAGUUCCGAUUUCGCCACUUCCCGCCCGUGGUAACGCGUCCCGCGCGUAGGGCCAAGUUGCGGUCCGCACGUCGUUCCCCACGUUCAUCUUCUGUGCACAUACAGCUUCGGUGUGUCUUUCGCUGCGCUGACACCGGACUGUGAUCAGACGUUCGCAUAUUCGUCUGCCGCAUCUCUCACGCGACCGAGCGCCGCCCUGUGGCAUGCGAAGGCUUGCUUCAGCGCUCGAUGCAUGUCCGGGACUGGCGUAGAAGGCGCUCGUCGAAUCCAUUCUUUGUCUGCAUACCCGAUGCCGUGACGAACGAUGACGGGCUGGUUCCGGGCGAUUCCCUUUGCGAGUGCGCUGUAUGGUGCAAAAGCAAGCAUACGCAGUCCCGUUUGAGAAGGGAUUCGUGGAAUGCGAUAUUGGCCUUGGUGAGGCAGGCACCGGAAUGAUAACACUCAUAGGAGAACCAGUCGAGUGAUUUCGAUCCGUCCACGCUGUUCUACAGCGAAGCGGCGAUCCAGUCUGCACCAGAGGCGAUCGCUGCGACGACUAUAGUCAAGGACUUCAUUCCAUGCAACCAGAAGAGGCGAGUGCAUCUGGGCGCGAAUCCCCGUGUAACGUACGAUGCAGCUGUCGAAUUCCCUGUCUCGCGGAUGACCACAGGGACACAAGGAUUUGUCUUUCGAAAGGAUUCGAUCAUUUGAUACGAGAAGCACGAUGAGGCUUGGGCGUGAGCGUGUGAACACGUCGUCAAGGAGCGACGUCGGGCUCCGUGCCGCGCCAGUCCAGUGGCGAGCAUUGCUGUGCCCACGGGUUGCCUUGAAACAGAAAGAUCGAAAACAUGAAGCAUGCAUGAUUUGCGCAUGCUAUACACAAGGAACGCGAUAGCGGUAGAGGCUUGUGCCUACAAAUUGGUUCAUAAAAUCGGCUAUUU